AUUGAACGCUGGCGGCAGGCCUAACACAUGCAAGUCGAGCGGUAACACAGGGAGCUUGCUCCUGGGUGACGAGCGGCGGACGGGUGAGUAAUGUCUGGGAAACUGCCUGAUGGAGGGGAUAACUACUGGAAACGGUAGCUAAUACCGCAUAACGUCGCAAGACCAAAGAGGGGGACCUUCGGGCCUCUUGCCAUCAGAUGUGCCCAGAUGGGAUUAGCUAGUAGGUGGGGUAACGGCUCACCUAGGCGACGAUCCCUAGCUGGUCUGAGAGGAUGACCAGCCACACUGGAACUGAGACACGGUCCAGACUCCUACGGGAGGCAGCAGUGGGGAAUAUUGCACAAUGGGCGCAAGCCUGAUGCAGCCAUGCCGCGUGUAUGAAGAAGGCCUUCGGGUUGUAAAGUACUUUCAGCGGGGAGGAAGGCGUUGUGGUUAAUAACCACAGCGAUUGACGUUACCCGCAGAAGAAGCACCGGCUAACUCCGUGCCAGCCGCCGCCGUAA
rnacentral:rRNA from 1 species